rnacentral:rRNA from 1 species
CCUACGGGAGGCAGCAGUGGGGAAUCUUGCACAAUGGAGGAAACUCUGAUGCAGCGAUGCCGCGUGAGUGAAGAAGGCCUUUGGGUUGUAAAGCUCUUUUGUAGGGGAAGAUAAUGACUGUACCCUAAGGAUAAGGUCCGGCUAACUUCGUGCCAGCAGCCGCGGUAAUACGAAGGGACCUAGCGUAGUUCGGAAUUACUGGGCGUAAAGCGCGCGUAGGCCGUUGAGUUAGUUAAUUGUGAAAUCCCAAAGCUUAACUUUGGAACUGCAAUUAAAACUGCUCGACUAGAGUUUGAUAGAGGAAAGCGGAAUACAUAGUGUAGAGGUGAAAUUCGUAGAUAUUAUGUAGAACACCAGUUGCGAAGGCGGCUUUCUGGAUCAACACUGACGCUGAGGCGUGAAAGUAUGGGUAGCAAAGAGGAUUAGAUACCCUCGUAGUCCAUACCAUAAACGAUGAUUGCUAGAUGUUGGAAAUUUAUUUUCAGUAUCGCAGCUAACGCAUUAAGCAAUCCGCCUGGGGAGUACGACCGCAAGGUUAAAACUCAAAGGAAUUGACGG